GCUGAGUCGGUUGAGCAUCUGACUCUUGAUUUUGGCUCAGGUCACGAUCCCAGGGUUGUGGGCUCGAGCCCCACACUCAGCA
rnacentral:tRNA from 1 species